rnacentral:tRNA from 1 species
AUUUAUUUAAUAUAAUAAGUAUAUUUGGCUUCCAACCAAAAAGUCUAUUUUUUAGAAUAAAUA